rnacentral:snRNA from 1 species
AGCUCUGCACAGUGGCAGUAUUGUGGCCAAUGAGGUUUAUCUGAGGCACAAUUAUUGCUCAUUGAAAAUAGUGAUAAUUUUUUCUUCUAUUUUGCAAAAUUAUACCUCAUUUUUUGUUCUUACUGCAAGCUU